rnacentral:rRNA from 1 species
GACGAACGCUGGCGGCGUGCUUAACACAUGCAAGUCGAACGGAAAGGCUCCAGCUUGCUGGAGUACUCGAGUGGCGAACGGGUGAGUAACACGUGGGUAAUCUGCCCUGCACUCUGGGAUAAGCCUGGGAAACUGGGUCUAAUACUGGAUAUGACCUUUCUCCUUAUGGGGUCUGGUGGAAAGUUUUUCGGUGUAGGAUGAGCCCGCGGCCUAUCAGCUUGUUGGUGGGGUGAUGGCCUACCAAGGCGACGACGGGUAGCCGGCCUGAGAGGGUGAUCGGAGGCAGUGGGACUGAGUGAAGGGCGAGAAGGCGACGGGAGGGAGGGGGGGGGAAGGUUGAAAGAGGGACGCAGGGGUAAUGCCGAGACGCGGCGGGAGGGAUGACGGUCGUCGGGGUGUAGACAAAAUGCAGCAGGGACGAAGCGGGCGUGACGGGGACUGAAGGAGAAGGACAGGCGAACUAUGGG